rnacentral:rRNA from 1 species
UACGGAGGGUGCAAGCGUUAUCCGGAUUUACUGGGCUUAAAGGGCGCGCAGGCGGAUUAGUAAGUCAGUGGUGAAAGCCUUGAGCUUAACUCGAGAACUGCCAUUGAUACUAUUAGUCUUGAAUGUUGUUGAGGUUUGCGGAAUGGGUCAUGUAGCGGUGAAAUGCAUAGAUAUGACCCGGAACACCUAUUGCGAAGGCAGCAGGCUAAACAAAUAUUGACGCUGAGGCUCGAAAGCGUGGGGAUCAAACAGG